rnacentral:misc_RNA from 1 species
AUGGCGACGCCCCCUCAAAAAUAGUUGUCGAGUUUGAUAAGCGUCGGGAGGUAGCUUAGCGUGUGGUGAAAAAUAAAAUAAUGUUCUAAGCCUACUAGGCGAAAAUACUGUAAAAUAAAAUUAUUUCUAAGCAAUAGUUAAUUUCAAUAACAGGUUAAAAUGGCGGAUCCAGGUUUUCCAGGAAAGACUGCUACCACAACUACAGUACAUACAAACAGUACUACUACAGUUCAAACCAAUGUGCGGUUUGAUCCAUUCUAUAUUAGAACCAUACCUGGAAUACUAAAAUGUGUUCAAGUGACGCUCAACUUAAUAGGAUUCAUCUGUAUCGAAUGCAGCGGGUGGCUAGCGACUCACUCAAGAGGGGCCUUCUUCAAUUUCGUAGCUAUGACUGGAUUUUGGUUUACCGGAAUCCUGUUGGCUUUCUACUUAUUCCACCUUAUAGAAAAAUUCCACAGGGUGCCAUGGCUAAAGAUUGAAUUCAUAUUUUGUGCCGUAUGGACCGGAUUAUAUUUGAUAGCGGCGUCUUUAGCUAUAUCGUUUCACCAAGAAGCCUACAUUGCAGCUGGGUUCUUCGGCUUCUGCGGCAUGGUAGCGUACGGAAUCGACGGUUUCUUUAAGUUCAAGGCCAUCAAAAGUGGACAACUUGCUCAAGGAGAAAGAGUAGUCAGUCGGCAAACGACAACUGUAACUAGUCCAGCAUAUUAAAUCUAAUCAUUUCUUGUUGAUCACCAAUUAUCACAGUCUCACUAAUCUUCAAUACCUACACCUAACAACCACGAAUUAGACUAAUACUCAAAAAGUGUAAGUAAGUCUCGGAUUAAUUUAACUUAAGUAAUAAGGUGGGUAUUUUUUUUAUAGAAUGGCAGGUUCAUAAUAAUGCUAAUUUUUUGUUAUUGUGUGUUAAAAUAUAAGAAAGUACAUCUACAAAGUAUAAAGAAAGCAAUAUUUACAAUUUUCGACGAUAAAGGAAAUAUAUUUUUAAAUCAGGCGAGACGCAUUAGUCUCUCGCACUUGGUGGUAAGAGCUUUGUAGCAUACCUUGUUUUUUCCUUAAACUCUAAUGAGUUCUGUGGCCUCAACGAAGACAACAGUUUUCUUAUUGGUAGUUUUAGGAUCUCUUCUGGUUCAAACCUCAAUUGACCAGUGAAAUCCUGCCUCACAUCACUUUGUACAUUCUAACGGCAUAGUAUGUGUAACGCAGUGUCUUCUUCCAUUUCGUUUGUAUAGAUGGUUUCUUAAACGGCAAUGUCCAGUUAUCUUUCAGUGACCGUUUUGAUCUCUCAUUUAUUGAGGUUCAUCAAAUUGUUCGAGAGUUUUUUUAUCAAUAUUAUUGAUUAUUUUUCUAGGCUGGAUUUACCCUUGAGUGACUCCAUUUCUUUUGAUGAUUCCUUAUCGGUCAUUUCUGAACCUCGUUGUUCGUAGCAUCUUUAGUGAUGCCACAGAAAGGUUGUGGGCCUUCAAAAGUUUCUCUCAAGCCUUGUUUUGCCAAUAUAUCUGCUCGUUCAUUCUCAUGCACUCCUUCGUGACCUGGCACCCAUAUUAAAGACAUUCUAUUGUCUAUUGUCAGGUUGUUGACUAGUUUUGAUUUCGUGAGUGGUUUCUUUACUGCCAGAAUCUCUGUAAAUAUUGAUUUUGACGUCGAUAUUACAAAGUGUUGCCGUUACCAUUUGUGGCGUUACGAACUGCCGCGUUACGAGAUGUUUGUCAUGUUAAACAACAUGUAUUACUCUUUGUACUUUCUAGGUGAACUUUACGGUAUUGUACUUGUUAAAUUUUGAUAAGAGCUUAUGAUAAAGUUUUUUAUUUUAAUGUUAAGUUGAAAUCGAAAACUCCUUAAAUUAUUAGACAAACUAAAAUGGUGUUAUGUUUGAAAAAAUGAUUACUUCAACAAAAAUAUUGCAAAAUAUUAUUUACUGUAUUAUAUUUUAGCUAUGACCAACUAGAAGGUGGCCUGGCAAAUUUUUUAUAUUCAGUUUUACUUAUAUUGCUAGGAAAUGAAGAGAAAAGAAUUAUUAAAGUACAAGAUAUAACGAAUAUAGAUAUACAAUCAUAAGCUACAUCUAGAACUACUUCAAAGGGCAAACUUUUUAAAUUCUUGUUAUUUGAAAGGUAUAUAAAGAGCACUCUACCAUUUAGUAGACCAACCAAGUUACUUUUCAGUACCAAAAAACAAAUUUUACAAAAUAAAAACCAACGAACUAAUGUGAUGAAGAAAAAACAACUACCCAAUAACAUUGUAAAAUGUUUAGAUGUCACGGGAUUUGACAAGUGGCAAAUGACACUGACACAAACAUGAAAAGAUUGUCCUGUGUAAAAUCAACAAGAAGUUUUGUUUUAGAAGAUGAAUCAAUUUGUAAUUGAUCGAGUUUUAAUAGAUUUAUGUAUUCUAUUACUUUCUGUUCUCGAUAUGUUUAUAACACUAUGAAUCGUGAAAUUUUAAUAUAAAUCGUUUAAUGGCUCCGUUUUCCAUUGAAUUUUCGCAUUGAAUUGUUGGUGUUCAUAAGUUUCUAAAGUCUUCAUACAUUGGGAUCAGCAUUUGUGCUUAAAGGGCACAGAAAACGUGCUUUUACCUGUAAAAGUAGAGCGACAUUCUUGUUAAUGACAUUGAGUACUUUAAUUUUGCUUUUCUCGAAAUGUCGAGAUGCAUUCUCAAAAAAUAUUGCAUUUUUGUUGAUUUACAAAUAAAGUUUUUAGAUAAUGUGUAUAUUUUCUUCAGUCAUAUUGUAUUUUGUAUAAUGAUUACUGAAAGUACCAAUAGUGGCUUAUAUAUAUUCAAGAACACGUUAAGAAAUAAACUUUCUACAACCCUAAUGUACCUUAUGUAAAUGCUAUGUACAUUUAGCAGAUAACUUCGCAAUAAUUUUUGUAUACAAGCAAUUUAAAUUUUAUCGUCAAAUUUAAAUCGGUUAAGACUGGACAGAUUGUCAACUGUAGAUUUUGUACUAUAUUAAAAAAAAGAAGUUAUUUGGUAUAUAUGUAUAUAUCGGUUACAAAAAUAUAUGAGUUUGUGUCGAAAUCAUCUAAAUCACUUAGAAACACAAACAGUAGGUACUAGUAUUUUAAUACUUGUUAUGUACAUUAUAACCACUUAUUUUAUGCCAUAGAUCUAGAUGAACUUUGAUCUCUAUCGUAUUUCUCCAUUCAGUCUGAUUCCUUAGAGCUUCAUGUCAAUUUUAGACACUGUUCUUCCUUGACUCUAUAACUCAGUGGACUGGCAGCUUUAUAUUGAGUUGAGGAGUUAGUCAGUUCAUUAGUGAGUCACUCGCUACCCAGACAAUAUCUUAAACAUCUCACAUUUCGUCUUUGGCGCCUAUAAAGCAUUUGGAAAAACGGACUUGGUGUCUUCACUCUUCACUUCUACUUCUGGUACCAUUUGAGCCAUCAGGCCUACUUUCACAUUUAAAUGAAAAUCUUCAGUAUUCGUUCAUUUGCUCAUAUGCCUGCUCAUUGAAGGUAUUGUAAAUUGUAUUUUUGUUUAAGGUGAUACAGUAGCGAUCAACAGGUAGCAAAAACGCGUUCCAAGAUUGCGGCUGUAAUUUUGAAUAUUUUUUCGAGAUAUUUGGCACACAUAUUCGUAACAUAAUAAAGAAUGGCGGUACAGAGCCCAAUUUGAAAAAUAUAUUAAUAUGUGUAAAUUACUCUGUAAUUAAAUACAAUAUUAAAAAAAUGAGCCUGUACCGCCAUUAAGAAGAACAAAAAAAUACACUUUCUUCAAAUAAACUUUUUUAUACGAUGCCUAGAUUUUGUGUCAUUUUGGAACUACUAAAAUUUUUUAUUUCAUUAGUAGUUCCAAAAUGACACAAAAUCUAGGCAUCGGAUAAAAAAGUUUAUUUGAAGAAAGUGUAUUUUUUUGUUCUUCUUAAUGGUGGUACAGGCUCGUUUUUUAAAUAUUGUAUUUAAUUACAGAGCAAUUUCCACAUAUUAAUAUAUUUUUUAAAUUGGGCUCUGUACCGCCAUUCUUUAUUAUAUUACGAAUACGUGUGCCAAAUAUCUCGAAAAAAUAUUCCAAAUUACAGCCGCAAUCUUGGAACGCGUUUUCGCUACCUGUUGAUCGCUACUGUUUCCUCUUAAUGUGGAACUAGGUCACAGUUCCUAUGAUACCCAUGUUCAGCAUUUAACAUAUAAAAUAAAGUACAAGAAAGAUAUAAGUGAUUAGGUUAUUUUCACACAUACCUCAAGUAUAAGCACUUGUUAUAUAAUUUAUUGUUGAUAUAUUCUAAAUGUUUACUGUUAGGGAACACUGUAUUAAUGUUUAUAAUGAGGAUAGAGCACUUUACAAAAGUAUUUUGUAUUAAAGAAUAAACUUUAUUAAUGAAUUCGACAUCAUGUGAAAAAUACUUAAAGCCAAUUAUAUAAAACAAAUUGCUGCGCAUGUGUACUUGUUUUAUAUUCAUACUGUUGGUAUUCAAAUAGAAGCUACAACUAUUUUGCGAUAUAAUAAAAUAUUAGCAAAGGUUGUAUCUGCUACGAUAUCUUAGAUAUUCACCACCUGAAAGCAACCAAACAAAAAACUGUUUUAUUUAUUAUAUAGAUACUUUUAUGUACAAAUAUAAUGGAUUUUCAAUUAAAAUUGCGGUUUAUUCCUAUCAAAUAUAGUACAUAACAGAAAUUUCACAAGUUUUAGAACUUAAAAAUUAUUCUUUCUUUCUUUAGAAAUACUUUAGAAAUACGUUUUUUAAAAAUUAAAUACUUUAUUAAUAAUCUAACAAAUAUCUGUUAACAUAUUUUAAGUUUUUAUAAAAAAUCGUGUUUUUCCCUGCUUGGGAUGAUUCAUCGUCCUUCUGCCGUUUACCUUCAAGCAACAGGUCUGUUAAUUUUCACAAAUAUAAAAUGGUCCUUCUAGCUGUAUAUUUAUCAUCUAUCCGGCUCGGAAGGACCAUAUAAAUCUAUUUUCACGCAUAGUUGAUAUGCUCAGUUUUUUGCACUGGAAAAACAGUAUGGAAAACUACAAUAUUCCAUCGUAAAUUAGUCGUUUUCACAUAAUGUAGAAUUUUCAUAACUAAUCUUAUCAUACAUACUGCUUUCUGGAUUAUAUUUAUUUUUGGAUAAAUAUAAAGGUUGUCAAAAAUACUAAAGGCCAGUAAUAUAUUUUUAUUAAUAUCAAAUUGCUUUGUAUAUACUAUUGUUUUAUUGUACAAUCAGAACUAUCUAGAUUAGAAAACUACAUUUUAAGUAUAGUUCAGAAAUCAAGUCUGGUUUGUUGGGUUGUAAAAAACGCAAAUUGAAAGUAGGUUUUCUUUUAAGGUAUUCAAUAUUCUAAAUAAAAAACAUAUUUUAUGCUAUGGGAACUGCUUGAAAAUUGCUUAAAACAAAUUUCCCAUUAAUGAUUAAAAAAGGCUAGUUCUUUUUGAUUUGUGCCGUUGUCGGUAUAUGUCCGUCAGCGGAUUUACAAGUAUUAUGCUUGGCUAAACUGCUUAAAACAAAUAAACUAUUUAUUGCAAUAUAUCUGCGCUGUGGUAACGUAGAUAAUAUUGGACCAAAAUAAAAUAUGAAAAAAUGUUGUUCUUUUUGGUUUGUGCCGUUUGUCGGUAUCCGUCCGUCAGCGCAUUUACAAAUAUUUUAAAAACUGCUUGAAACAAAUUUCACACUUAGGUCCAUUGCAAUAUAUCUUUGCUAUUGGCUCCGUGCGUGACCAUGGUGGGGAAGCAGCGAAACUAUGCCAGCGCCUGUAGGGGCGAAAUAUGACAACUUUGGCGAAUAAUGAUUGAAUAAUAAUUUUUUUUUCAAUAGAUAUUUCGCUUACCUUAUUAUUGCCGUUUUGAUUUUUAUUAUUUAUAUUGUAUAUUUUCAUACUGACUUUCUUUCCUUCCCCUAUCUGGUUUUAUAUUCCUAUAGUCAUCUAUUUCCAUUUUGUGUUACACACACACCACAAAAUUAAUAGUUCAAUAGACCCAGGUAAUGCUAAAAUCUGGUACUAAAAUUCACACUGCCUAAUUACUUUCAAUGUACACUUAAUUAAUGUUAACACCGCUAACUAAACUAUAACGAAAAGUAAAGAAAAACCCUUAAAAUUGAUACUUUCUUCAGAAAACUUCCAAAUAUCCGCUUUUUAAUUUGACGUUUAUUUGACACUCGAACUUAUUGUGUGUAUAAUAAAUUUUAUCAAAAAUGGUAAAUAAAUAUUACAUUAACGUCAAAUCUGUCAUAUGUGUAUUACAUGUUUUACGUCAAAUUGUGUUCACCAAAAAUUUCAGGCGACUACGCUAGGUGUCGCAUCAGUUAUGCACGGAGCGAAUAGUAACGUAGAUAAUAUUGGACCAAAAUAAAAUUAAAAAAAAAGAUUUGUUCUUUUUGGUUUGUGCCGUUUGUCGGUAUCCGCCCGUCCGUGGAUUUAAAUGUUUUUAAAAAACUGUUUGAAACAAAUUUCACACUUGGAUUCAUUACAAUACAGUGAUGAGUGUGCUAAUAACCGGUAAGAUAACGUAAAAGACGGAAAACAUAAUACGUUAUGGAAUAAAAAGAAAUGAAACUAGUAGAGGCGGGAAAUUAUAAAUACAACCUAUAAAAAUUUACAUUAUAUUGAUAGCUUCCCACUUUUAGAUGUAUCGGAGGAGUAUGUCAACUAACACUGUCACUGUCACAGUUCUAGUUGCCAAACUCAUUCCAUACGUACAAAGGUGGAAAACUUUCAAUAUAAUGUAAAUUUAUGGGUUUCUAUUGAUAAUUUCUCACCUCUACUAGUUUCAUCUCUUUUUAUUUCAUAUCGCAUUAUGUUUUCCAUCUUUUACGUUAUUUUUCCGGUUAUUAGAGCACUCAUCACUGCAUAUCUACGCUGUGAUAAGGUAGAUAAUAUUGGACCAAAAGGAAAUAUAAAAAAGAUUAGUUCUUUUUGGUUUGUGCCGUUGUUGGUAUAUGUCCGUCAACGGAUUUACAAGUAUUAUGCUUGGCUAAACUGCUUAAAACAAAUAAACUAAUUAUUGCAAUAUAUCUGCGCUGUGGUAACGUAGGUAAUAUUGGACCAAAAUAAAAUAUGAAAAAAUGUUCUUUUUGGUUUGUGCCGUUUCUCGGUAUCCGUCCGUCAUGCGUCAGCGCAUUUACAAAUAUUUUAAAAACUGCUUGAAACAAAUUUCACAUUCACGAAUUAUUGCAAUAUAUCUGCGCUUUCGUAACGUAGAUAAUAGUGUAUUAAAAUACAAUAUGAAAAAAGGUUAGUUCCUUUUGAUUUAUGCCGUUUGUCGGUAUAUGUCCGUCAGCGGACUUACAGAUAUGAUCAACUAAACUGCUUAAAACAAAUUUCCUUUUGAUUUGUGCCGUUGUCGGUAUACAGUGGAUGAGUGCACUAAGAACCGUAAAAAUAACGCAAAAGACGGAAAACAUAAUAUCGCACCUCCGCUCAAAGAAUGUCAUAACUCAAAAAAAUUUAAAAUCGGUUUUAUUGCACCAACAGUUUAAUAAAACAAUAAACUCCUAUCUCACAAAGUGUCACGUCUAUGGGUCAAAUAUUUAUCGUUAGAUGACACUAGUGUCAUUAUACGAUUAUCCAAAAUCGACGACGCACCGAACACAAACAGUGUUACAUAUCGACUUGUACAAAGCAAUUGUCCAUCUAAGAUGUGUAUAAAACGUCGUUUGUCGAGUUAAGACAGUAUAUGCGAUUACUUUAUUAGUGACACUUUUAUCACUUAUUUAUUUUUCUUUUUGCAGUAUUUUGUGUUUAAUAUUGUUAUUCGUAUUUAAAGUUACAUCAUUAAAAAGUAUAAGUCUGUUAACCAGAUAAUAAUAAUGAUAUUAUAUUCUGUACUGCAAGUGUCACUUUUGAUAAAUAGUACACUGACCGGCACAAAAAACGGCCACCCCACAAAAUGGGUCAUUUUUGAUGUCUCUUAUUUCCUAAACCUGUUGUCCGAUUUAAGUGAUUUUUUUAUUAUGUUAUAGCUUUAUUCUUCAACAAUAUCGCUGUAAUAAUAUUGUUGUCACACAGGUAAAUUAUCAUUGUAUACCAAGUGUACCAAUCAAACUGUGUUUUUUUCUCAAAGGUCACCACACCCUGUGGAAUAUUGUAGCAUUUAUAAAAUACUGAAAUUAAACCCCAACUAUAGCCUCAGAUUUUCUUAACAUUCUGUUUUUUGAUUCAUUCGCUUAUGUUGGAUAAUAAAAAGUUAGGUACUUUAAUAACUAGCCUUGUUUUUCGUCAAUACAGGGUGUUUUUAAAUAAGUAUGGCAAACUUUAAGAGGUAAUUUUGCAUGAUAAAAUAAUGAUAAUUUGCUUUAUAAACGUAUGCAAAUGCUUCGUUUCCGAGAUACGGGAUGUUGAAAUUUUUAUUACAAACUAACGAUUUAUUUAUUGCUCUUAAAACCGGUUGAGCUAUGGAAAUGAAAUUUGGUAGCUUUUAAGACACAGUUAUUACACAUUUUUUGACAUGCAAUUAAUAAUUUUAUAAUCUCCAGUGGCGCGCAUAGGGGUAAUAUUAGCCGCAUGCACGCCAAUCGUGAAUAUAAAAUUCUUAAUUGUAUGUCAAAAAAUGCGCAAUAAUAACCUCUUAAAACCUACCAUAUUUCAUUUGCAUAUCUCAACCGGUUUUAGAGCAAUAAAUAAAUCGACAGUUUGUAAGAAAAAAAUUCAACAUCCCGUAUCUUGGAAAUGAAGCAUUUGAGGACUUAUGUUUAUAAAUCAAACAGUCAUUAUUUUUCCAUGCAGAAUUACCCCUUAAAGUUUGUCACACUUGUUUAGAAACACCCUGUAUUGACGAAGAAAAUGGCUAGUUGUUAAAGUACCUAACUUUUUUAUUAUCCAACAUAAGCGAAUGAAUAAAAAAACAGAAUGUUAAGAAAACCUGAGGCUAUAGUCGGGUUUUAAUUUCAGUAUUUUAUAAAUACUAGAAUAUACCACAGGGUGUGGUAAACUUUGAGAAAAAAAACACAGUUUGAUUGGUACACCCGGUAUACAAUGAUAAUUUACCUGUCUAGCAACAAUAUUAUUACAACGAUAUUGUUAAAGAAUAUGGCUUUAUAAUAUUAAAAAAUCACUUAAAUCGGACAACAGGCUUAGGAAAUUCGAGACAUUAAAUAUGACCCAUUUUGUGGGGUGGCCGUUUUUUGUGCCGGUCAGUGUAUUUCGUAAAUUUUUCGUUAUUUUAUCUGUAUAGUGUCACAACUCAUUUUUUUAAAUAUCUUUAAUAUACUUUAAUAGGCUAUUUUAUAGAGCUUUAAAAACCAUGUAACUGACUGAAAUAGUUAUUAUUCUAAUUUUAAUAGUUUUUGAAUUAAACCCAAAAAUGUUGUAGGACAAACUUUAAACGUCGUUUUCUCGAAACUUUGUUUUUUUGACUUAAGACACUCUUUAAGCGGAGGUGCGAUAUGUUGUGAAAUAAAAAGAGAUGAAACUAGUAGAGGCGGGAAGUUAUAAAUACAAACCUAUAAGUUUACAUUAUAUUGAUAGUUUUCCACCUUUAGACGUAUAUGAGGAGUAUGUCACAGUUCUAGUUGCCAAACUCCUUUGCUACGUCUAAAGGUCAGAAACUUCAAUAUAAUGUAAAUUUACAGGUUUCGAUUAAUAAUUACCGACCUCUACUAGGUUCAUUUCUUUUUUUAUUCGCAACGUAUUAUGUUUUCCGUUUUUUGCGUUAUUUUGGCGGUUAUUAGCGAACUCAUCACUGUAUAUCCGUCAGCGGAUUUACAAAUAUUACGCUCAGCUAAACUGCUUAGAACAAAUUUCGCACUAACGAUUUAUUGGACGAGAUUCUGCAGAAAGGAUCCAACCCACACUUUGUUAAAACUGAGAUAUUAGCCAAAAAGUUUACGACAAAAUUUAAAAUUCUCGAUUAAAAAUAAUUAACGUUUAACAUUAGAAUCGGUACAAUAUUAACGAUUCUAAUGUUAAGCCAUAAUUAUUUUUAAUAGAGAAUUUUAAAUUUUAUCGUAAACUUUUUGGCUAAUAUCUCAGUUUUAACAAUGUGUGGUUUGUCCUUUCUGCAGAAUCCCGUCCUAUUGCAAUAUAUCUGCGCUUUGGUAACGUAGAUAAUAUCGGAUCAAAAUAAAAAUAAAAAAGAUUAGUUCUUUUUGGUUUGUGCCGCUUGUCGGUAUCGGUGCGUCCGCGGAUUUACACGUAUUUAAAAAACUGCUUGAAACAAAUUUCACACCUAUGUUCAUUGAAAUACAGUGAUGAGUGCGCUAAUAACCGACAAAAUAACGUAAAAGACGGAAAACGUAAUACGUUGUGAAAUAUAAAAAGAGAUGAAACUAGUAGAGGUGGGAAAUUCUCAAUACAAACCUAUUAAUUUACAUUAUAUUGAUAGUUUCCCACCUUGAAAUGUAUCGGAGUAAUAUCUCAACUAAAACUGUCACUGUCACAGUGGUAGUUGUACCAUACUCCUCCGAUACGUCUAAAGGUGGGAAGCUAUCAACAUAAUGUAAAUUUAUAGGUUUCUAUUGAUAAUUUUCCACCUCUACUAGUUUCAUCUCUUUUUUUAUUUCAUAACGCAUUAUGUUUUCAAUCUUUUACGUUAUUUUUCUGGUUAUUAGAGCACUCAUCACUGUUUAUCUACGCUGUGGUAAGGUAGAUAAUAUUGGACCAAAAAGAAAUAUGAAAAAAGAUUAGUUCUUUUUGGUUUGUGCCGUUUGUCGGUAUAUGUCCGUCAGCGGAUUUACAAGUCUUUAGUAAACUGCUUAAAACAAAUUAUACAUUAACUAUUUAUUUAUCCGCGUCUGUCCGCGGAUUUACAAGUAUUUAAAAAACUGCUUGAAACAAAUUUCACACUUGGGUUCAUUGUAAUACAGUGAUGAGUGCGCUAAUAACCGGCAUAAUAGCGUAAAAGACGGAAAACAUAAUACGUCGUGAUAUAUAAAAAGAGAUGAAACUAGUAGAGGUGGUAAUUUUUAAAUACAAACCUAUAAAUUUACAUUAUAUUGAUAGUUUGUCACCUUUAGAUGUAUCGGAGGAGUAUGUCAACUAAAACUGUCACUGUCACAGUGGUAGUUGCCCAACUCCUCCGAAACACCUGAAGGUGGGAAACUAUCAACAUAAUGUAAAUAAAUUUAGAGGUUUCUAUUGAUAAUUUCCCACCUACUAGUUUCAUCCCUUUUUAUUUCACAACGUACUCUGUUUUCCAUCUUUUACGAUAUUUUGCCGGUUAUUAGGGAACUCAUCACUAUAUAUCUACGCUAUGUUAUUAAUAUUGGACCAAAAUAAAACAUGAAAAAAGAUUAGUUCUUUUUGGUUUGUGCCGUUUGUCGGUAUAUGUCCGUCAGCGGAUUUACAAGUCUUGAGUAAACUGCUUAAAACAAAUUAUACAUUAACUAUUUAUUUAUCCGCGUCUGUCCGCGGAUUUACAAGUAUUUAAAAAACUGCUUGAAACAAAUUUCACACUUAAGUUCAUUACAAUAAUCUACGCUAUGGUAAUGUAGAUAAUAUUGGACCAAAAUAAAAUAUGAAAAAAGUUAUUUUUUUGAUUUGUGCCGUAGUAAUAAACUAAUAGCGCAAGCUUUCUCCCUAGUUACUAAUGCAACAAUCUGUGUUGUAAAGGAAUUUCACAUUUGUAAGAUUUUUCUCCAUUGAAUAUGAAUAUUGAUUCACAUUUCACAUUUGUAAGGUUUUUCUCCAUUGAAUAUGAACAUUGAAUAACAUUUCACAUUUUUGUAAUCUUAUCUGCAUUGAAUAAGUACUGAUUCACAUUUGUAAGGUUUUUCUUUAUUUAAUAUAUGUACCUAAAUAAUGGUUCACAUUUUAAUUUGUAAGGUUUUUCUCCAUUGUUAUAAAUAUUGAUUCACAUUUGCAAGGUUUUCCUCCAUUGAAUAUGAAUAUUGAUUCACAUUUCUCAUUUUUAAGGUUUUUCUCCAUUGAAUAUGAAUAUGGAUUCAAAUUUCAGAUUAAUUGUAAUAUUUUUCUGCAUUGAAUAUAAUUAAUUCCACAUUUAACAUCUGUAAGGUUUUUCUUCAUUGUUAUGAAUAUUGAUUCACAUUUCACAUUUGUAAGGUUUUUCUCCAUUAAAUAUGGAUAUGGAUUCACAUUUCACAUUAAUUUGUAAUGUUUUCCUGGGUUGAAUAUGAUUGAUUCACAUUUCACAUUUGUAAGUUUUUUCUUUAUUGAAUAAGUAUACCUAAAUAUUGAUUCACAUUUGUAAGGUUAUUCUUCAUUGUUAUGAAUAUUUAUUCAUAUUUGUAAGGUUUUUCUCCAUUGAAUAAAUACUGAUUCACAUUUGUAAGGUUUUUCUCGAUAGUUAUGAAUAUUGAUUCACAUUUGUAAGGUUUUUCUCCAUUGGAUACGAAUAUUGAUUCACAUUUCCAUUUGUAUAGUUUCUCUCCAUUGAAUAUAAAUAUUGACUCUAUUCUCCAGCAUAAAUUGUUUGAUACACAUUUUAAAUGCUUUUCUUGGAUUAGAAUAAUGAUUCUAAUCUCCAGUGUGAAUCGUUUGAAACAGGAUUUACAUUUGUAGGGUUUUUCUCCAGUCCAAUCGUGAGUCAACUUUCGUUAAAGUUCAAUUUGUAACAAAUUAUGAAUCGCCGUAACUUAGCGGCAAGAUACUGGCCUCAUAAGCCAGAGCGCAAGAGUUCGAAUAUCGGCACAAACAACAUUUUUAUUUUUAAAAAGAAAAGGAACCGUUCACCAUGCUUCGGAGAGCACUUAAAGUGUCGGUCCCCUUUGGCUAGUGUGCAUCGACACUAGCCACUUGGAACAGGGUAAAGAUGCAAUUGGCGCCGGAGCAAUCCGAAAGGAUCUUCCUGGCAAAAUGCCAUACAAUAUAAUUGUUGUAACAAAUCUCACACUUGUAAGGUUUUCUCCAUCGAAUAUUAAUAUUUGAGGCGCUCAGAGCAACAGUGGCCUAACUCACAACACGCAAUUUUACCAAAAAGCUUUUCUUACCUUAAAGUUAUCCCUUAUUUAAGUAUAUUCAGAUGCAGAGUGGCUCAAGCAAAACCACUAUCUGAAAAUACUUAAAUAAGGGAUAAGUUUAAUGUAAUAAAAGCGUUUUGGUAAAAUAGUGGAUUGUGGUUUUAGGUCACUGUUGCUCUGAGUGCCUCAUUUAUGCUGAUCUCCUCUGUAAAUCGUUUGUUACACGUGGAGUCCAUUUAAGGUUUUUCUCUAGUGUGUACUCUAUAUAUACAAACUGUUCACCGUGCUUCGGAGGGCACGGAAAGUCGUCGGUCCCCACGACAUUUUCAUUUUUAAAAAGAAAACGAACCGUUGUCGUCGGUCCCCUUUGGCUAGUGUGCAUCGACACUAGCUACUUGAAACAGGGUUAAAGAUGCAGUUGGCGCCGGAAUAAUCCGAAAGGAUCCUUCCGGCAAAAAUGCCAUACGAUAUUGUAGCGAAAGAGCUACCACAAGAAACAGGUUCCAUCUCGACACCGCAGAAAUAUAUAGAUGGAACACGUGACGAGGGGAGUGAAGUGUUCGAGAACAGACGCGAAGGACGCUCGGAAUACCUCGCUUCCCUCACCACGUGUUCCAUCUAGAUAUUUCUGCGGUGUAGAGAUGGAACCUGUUACUUGUGGUAGCUCUUUCGUUACAUUAUUAUUGAAACAAAUUUCACACUUGUAAGGUUUUCUCCAAUGAAUAUGAAUCUUAAUGCUAAUUUCCAUUGUAUAUCGUAUGAUAUACGUGGAGUACAUUUAAGGUUUUUCUCCAGUAUGCAAUCUCAAAUGUUAUAGUAAGGAACACGAUCGCUAGAUGUUUCUCCACUCCAACUUUCGUUAAAGUUCAAUUUGUAAUAAAUUAUGGACGGCCGUAACUCUGCAGUUGAUACUGGCCUCAUAAGCCAGAGCGCACGAGUUCGAGUCUCGGCACAAACCACGACAUUUUCAUUUUUACAAAGAAAACGAACCGUUCACCUAAAGGCGUCGGUCCCCUUUGGCUACUGUGCAUCGACAUUAGCUACUUGAAACAGGGUUAAAGAUGCAAUUGAAUCAGUGAUUAUGAAAAGGGGUUAUCUCCACUUUCUGUCGAAUUUGUAUUUAAUACACAUAGACACGUCUAUUCCAUUCCAAUUUCAAUAUUAUUACCAUAAGCACAGCCUACCCCGCAAAUCAGUUCAGUUUGAAAAGGAGUCAUCUCCUAGAAAUGACUCCUUUUCCCAUUCUACCACAUGAUCUGUAAAUGCCUGUUUAAUUUAAAAACGGGUCAUCUCUUUUUCAAAAAAUUUCGGUUUCUAGGUCUUUUAAAAACACUUAAAAUAAUCAUCAGCUAGUAUUUAGCAGUUUGCUGUGUGUAAUAAACAAUAUUCACAUUAUAAUGACUAUUUUUUUCUUUUAAUGUUCGUUAUGAAAACGGGUUAUCUCUUUUUCAAAAAAUUGCUGUUUCUAGGUCUUUUAUAAUUUAAAAAAACUUUUUUCAAAUAUUCAUCAACUUAUAUAAUAAAUAUUAAAACCAAAGAAUACAUAAAAACAGAUAUUUCCCUAAUAGUCUUAAAGAUAAAAAAUAAAAAGUUUUUUACCUCUCCUGUGAAAUUUAAAAAAGUGGAGGUGAGUAGUGAUGUAACGAAUGUCAUUUUUUGAACAUUCGCGAAUACGAAUGCGAAUACCUGCUACGACAUUCGCGAAUGCGGAUGCGAAUAUUCAGUUUUUUUAAUUUGUUUCUAUUUUUGUAAUAUUUUCUAAAUUUAUAAUGAGAAGUUAAUUGAUAUCUAGUGUAAAUAAAUCUGAUUCUUAAGGAAUCUUAAGGCUUAAUAAAAAAGACCAAAUAAUAAAAUAAAGUAAAGGCUGAUAAUGUGAUUAUACGAAGUUAAGUUACCUUUCCUUAAUAAAAAAAAAAGAUGAGAUGUGAAGAUAUUUUGAUUUUAUUAACCUAAUAUUAUCUUCAAAUUACUUUUUUCUGAUAUUCAUAUUCGCAAAACAUUUGCACAAAUUUUGCGAAUAUUCGCGAAUGCGAAUAUUCGUUACAUCACUAGAGGUGACAUUUUCAAAAUUACUGAUUCAAUUAUUGUAACAAAUUUCACAUUUGUAAGGUUUUUCUCCAUUGACUAUGACUAUUUAUGCUAAUCUCCACUGUAAAUCGUUUGUUACACGUGGAGUACAUUUAAGGUUUUUCUCCAGUGUGUACUCUAUAUACAAUCUGUUCACCGUGCUUCGGAGGGCACGUAGUCGUCGGUCCCCGCGGCAUUUUUAUUUUUAAAAAGAAAACGAACCGUUCACUGUGCUUCGAGAGCACGUAAUGUGUCGGUCCCCUUUAGCUAGUGUGCAUCUGCACUAGCCACAUGAAACAGGGUUAAAGAUGCAAUUGGCGCCGGAACAAUCCGAAGGGAUCCCUCCGGCAAAAAUGCCAUACGAUAUUGUAGCGAAAGAGCAACCACAAGUAACAGGUUCCAUCUCGACACCGCAGAAAUAUCUAGAUGGAACACGUCACGAUUGGAAUGAGGUGGUCGAGAACAGACGCGAAGGACGCUCGGAAUACCUCACUUCCCUCAUCACGUGUUCCAUCUAGAUAUUUCUGCGGUGUAGAGAUGGAACCUGUUACUUGCGGUAGCUCUUUCGGUACAUUAUUAUUGUAACAAAUUUCACACUUGUAAGGUUUUCUCCAUUGAAUAUGAAUCUUAAUGCUAAUUUCCACUGUAUAUCGUAUGAUAUACGUGGAGUACAUUUAAGAUUUUUCUCCAGUCUGUAAUCUCAAAUGCUAUAGUAAGGAACACGAUCGCUAGAUGUUUCUCCACUCCAACUUUCGUUAAAGUUUAAUUUGUAACAAAUUAUGAACGGCCGUAACUCUGCAGUUGAUACUGGCCUCAUAAGCCAGAGCGCACGAGUUCGAGUCUCGGCACAAACCACGACAUUUUCAUUUUUACCAAGAAAACGAACCGUUCACCUAAAGGCGUCGGUCCCCUUUGGAUACUGUGCAUCGACAUUAGCUACUUGAAACAGGGUUAAAGAUGCAAUUGAAUCGGUCAUUGUGAAAAGGGGUUAUCUCCACUUUUUUGACAUUUCCACUUUCUGUCGAAUUUGUAUUUAAUACACAUAGACACGUCUAUUCCAUAUGAAAACGGGUCAAUAUUAUUACCGUAAGCACAGCAUACCCCGCAAAUCAAUUCAGUUUGAAAAGGAGUCAUCUCCUAGAAAUGACUCAUUUUCCCAUUCUACCACAUGAUCUGUAAAUACCUGUUCAUUAUGAAAACGGGUCAUCUCUUUUUCAAAAAAUUGCGGUUUCUAGGUCUUUCAUAAUUAAAAAAAACUUUUUUAAAAUAUUCAUCAGCUUAUAUAGUAAAUACUAAAACCAAAGAAUACAUAAAAACAGAUAUUUUCCUAAUAGUCUUAAAGAUAAAAAGUUUUUUACCGCUCCUGUGAAAUUUAAAAAAGGGGAGGUGACCUUUUCAAAAUUACUGAUUCAAUUAUUGUAACAAAUUUCACAUUUGUAAGGUUUUUCUCCAUUGAAUAUGAAUAUUUAUGCUGAUCUCCACUGUAAAUCGUUUGUUACAGUUGAGUCCGCGAAUCUUUACCCGUGCUUCAUCAUUUAAAGCAUACGAAAUAAGUCGAUGAUAAGUCGGAAAUUGAAAGUUACUAAACGCAACAGCAAGUCACAGUAUAGUAAAUAUUAAAACCAAAGAAUACAUAAAAACAUAUAUUUUCCUAAUAGUCUUAAACAUAAAAGUUUUUUUACCUUCUGUGAAAUUUAAAAAAGUGGAGGUGACCUUUUCAAAAUUACUGAUUCAAUUAUUGUAACAAAUUUCACAUUUGUAAGGUUUUUCUCCAUUGAAUAUGAAUAUUUAUGCUAAUCUCCCUCCACUGUAAAUCGUUUGUUACACGUGGAGUGCAUUUAAGGUUUUUCUCCAGUGUGUACUCUAUAUACAAUCUCUUCACCGUGCUUCGGAGGGCACGUAAAGUCGUCGGUCCCGGCGACAAUUUUAUUUUUAAAAAGAAAACGAACCGUUCACCGUGCUUCGACAGCACGUAAUGUGUCGGUCCCCUUUAGCUAGUGUGCAUCGGCACUAGCUACUUGAAACAGGGUUAAAGAUGCAAUUAUUGUAACAAAUUUCACAAUUGUAACGCUAAAUACACACACCGAUUUUGUAUCGACCGUUCAAAUUCCGAUAGUGAACCACAUGUUAGAACGGGACAUUUCACACACGCCGGCACCGAUAAGCGGUCGGCGUGUGUGAAAUAUCCCGUUAAAACCUGUGGUUCACUAUCGGAAUUUGGACGGCCUAUAUAAAAUCGAUCGUCCAAAAUCGGUGUGUGUGUAUUUAGCGUAUGGUAUAUUGAAUAUGAAUUAAUCUCCACUGUCAAUCAUAUGAUACACGUGGAGUACAUUUAUGGUUUUUCGCCAGUGUGCAAUUUCAAAUGUUAUAGUAAGAAACUAUGGCUAUAGUCCGUCCCACCUUGACUUUUCAGUAUAGGGAACAUAGGCAAUGCAGUCCUUAUGAGAGUUUUUAGCGCGGUGAUGCAGAUUUUAUCAAAAAGAAUUUGUAAUCGAACAUUAGAGAGAUUAAAUUAAAACUAGUGUAGAAAGACAGUCUACAAUUUUAGGAUUCGUAUGAGUUUAAGUUUAUUUGAUAUACUAUAGUUAUUACGCAUAUGAAUCUUUAAAUUGUAGGUUGCCUUUCUAAAACAGUUUUAAUUUAAUCUCGCUAAUGUUCGAUUACAAGUUCUUUUUGAUAAAAUCGGAAUCACCGCGUUAAAAACUCUCAUGCAUUGCCUAUGUUCCCUAUACUGUAAAGUCAAAGUGGGAAAGACAUAGGUGUUUCGUCAGUGUGCAAUCUCAUAUGAUAUAGCGAGGAAUACGAAUAAUAUAAAAUGUAAUCCUCAUUACAUUCAGUUGUGGUUUAAUCCCAUGUACUGUUUACGAUAGUAGACAUUCAUUGCCUUUGACCAUAUCGGCUGCAAUUGCAGAAAAAAAUACCGGGAAGAAAUAAUUGCGUACCACGCUUUAUAAACUCCCAUUACGUUCUUGUAGUAUCAGUAUUGAAUUUUAUUUGGAAUAUUGAAUUCUCUACAUUAGAAAAAACUUGCUCAACAUGAUAAAAAAUUCCACUUUGAAUCAGCUCUAAUGAAAUUUUUUAUGGAAACUUUUAACAAAUCACUACUUUCAUUUGGUGGUUUAUGUAUGUAAUAAUUACAGUUAAGUCCAUGGUUCUUUGCCCAUGCAUCAUUAUUUAAAACAUACGAAAUAAGUCGAAAAUUUACCCCACGCAACAGCAAAUGACAGAAAGUAGCUACUGCUCCGAUGACGGAGCAGUAGCUACUUCUAUUAUAAAAUUUGACGUUAUCAAAUAAAUAAAAUGUAAAAUGUUAGUUUUGCUUUAAAAUUUUUGUGCAGAAUUACAGCUACAUUUGAAGUAGCUUAAUUCAAAAAAUAAUAUAUAUUAUAGUAAAUAUAAUAACCAGGCAUAAUCUAAAAAAAAUCAAUAAAAUAUUUUCUUUUUGUCAUUUCUUUCACUUUUGCGGAAACUUAACAAAAACGGAAACAAAACCGUUCCUUAACUGUGUUAACUGAGGUUAACUUUGUAGGUGUAUAAUUUAAUGGCAAAAUAAAAUAAACUUAUAUGUACACCAUAAAAUUUCAAACUCCAAUAUAAAAUUAGUUUAAAAACAACUGUUUGUGUAAUAUAAAUAACUUCUAAAGAAAAACAGCAUAACAGGACAAAAAACAGCAAAAAAUCCAACAAACUGACAGCCACAAGUAAACAAACCAGAAACGUCACAAAUUGUACUCCAGUUGAAAACAUUCCCAAGCGUAUUUUUCCACCACUUAUCUCUUUUCGAUGUACUAAGUCUAAAGCGUUCAUAAAAGUAACAUGUGUCUUUACUUAAUAACAGGCGGUAGCUGGUUGGUCUUUAGUUUCAUGCGUGGAAGACAAUGAUGCUAGAUAAAAAGUAUGUGUUUUAUCUCGCCAGGUAUUAAUGACUCACGGGUAAGGAACCAUGGACUCAAUUGUAUAAAGUGGUUUGCAGUACUUAUUACUAAGACAGGCUAGGAGAACUAGAUAAUAUAUUUUGGGAACUUUUAAUGGGUAGUUCUUAUAAAACGAUUUAUUUUUAGUGUUACAACUUUUUAACCAAUACAAAUACCCUUGUAAGAUUGUAUUAUUACAGUAUUUUUGAUCGUAUUAUAAUGGCAACUUUAUUUUAACAACACAGGUUUUCCUACACUAAUUAUGCUUCACUUUACAAAUUAUCUGAAUUUUGUUGAUGCAAUUUCAUCAAUUUAUUUUAAGCUGGAUAAAACAUAACAUAUUUUUAUGUUGUGGGAUGAACUUAGUGCAUUUAGUAGUUAGUUUGCUGUCCUCUGUUCCACCAUCUUUUAAUUAAUUUAUUGUAGUUUUGACAUACUAUGUGCAAGCGCAUUGAACAUAUAAGAAAGAAUUUGUAUAUUUGAAAAAUUAUGCUAUGAAAACUCUUAACAAACAUUGUAGAGCUGAUAGAUACGUAUUAAUGGACAAUACCAAAAAUAAUUGUCUACUUUGUAUUAUAAAUUGAAAUUAUUUUAUUUUAGUGCAUUUUUCGGAUGGUAGUAUUUAGUAUUGGUUAAAAUAUUCAAAUAAUACUUAUACAACGAACUAGCUUUUAAUACGAAAUUAAAUUUUGGAAUAUUUACAUCCCGAUUGUUAGAUAAAUCUGUAUAACUUUGAUAAAAAUUCAAUAGGACCACUAGAAAUAUCACUUUAUAUGAUAAUCUGUAUAUCUUCGAUAAACUUUCAAUAGGACCACAAAAAAUAUCAUGUUAUAUGAAUCUAUAAUUUACAUUUUUCUAAUAAAGUUUUUUCCAAAAAAUA